ACCGCCGAGACCGCGUCCGCCCCGCGAGCACAGACCCUCGCCUUUGCCGCUCCACCGCCCGUCCACACCCGCCGCCAGCUCACCAUGGAUGAUGAUAUCGCCGCGCUCGUCGUCGACAACGGCUCCGGCAUGUGCAAGGCCGGCUUCGCGGGCGACGAUGCCCCCCGGGCCGUCUUCCCCUCCAUCGUGGGGCGCCCCAGGCACCAGGGCGUGAUGGUGGGCAUGGGUCAGAAGGAUUCCUAUGUGGGCGACGAAGCCCAGAGCAAGAGAGGCAUCCUCACCCUGAAGUACCCCAUCGAGCACGGCAUCGUCACCAACUGGGAUGACAUGGAGAAGAUCUGGCACCACACCUUCUACAAUGAGCUGCGUGUGGCUCCCGAGGAGCACCCCGUGCUGCUGACCGAGGCCCCCCUGAACCCCAAGGCCAACCGCGAGAAGAUGACCCAGGUGAGUGGCCCGCUACCUCUUCUGGUGGCCGCCUCCUUCCUGUCCUCCGGAGCUGCGCCCUUUCUCACUGGUUCUCUCUUCUGCCGUUCUCCGUAGGACUCUCUUCUCUGACCCGAGUCUCCUUUGGAACUCUGCAGGUUCUAUUUGCUUUUUCCCAGAUGAGCUCUUUUUCUGGUGUUUGCCUCUCUGACUAGGUGUCUAAAACAGACAGUGCUGUGGGUGUAGGUACUAACACUGGCUCGUGUGACAAGCCCAUGAGGCUGGUGUAAAGCGGCCUUGGAGUGUGUAUUCAGUAGGCGCACAGUAGGUCUGAACAGACUCCCCAUCCCAAGACCCCAGCACACUUAGCCGUGUUCUUUGCACUUUCUGCAUGUCCCCUGUCUGGCCUGGCUAUCCCCAGUGGCUUCUCGAGUGUGACAUGGUGCAUCUCUGCCUUACAGAUCAUGUUUGAAACCUUCAACACCCCAGCCAUGUACGUGGCUAUCCAGGCUGUGCUGUCCCUGUACGCCUCUGGCCGUACCACUGGCAUCGUGAUGGACUCCGGUGACGGGGUCACCCACACUGUGCCCAUCUACGAGGGGUAUGCCCUCCCCCAUGCCAUCCUGCGUCUGGACCUGGCUGGCCGGGACCUGACUGACUACCUCAUGAAGAUCCUCACCGAGCGCGGCUACAGCUUCACCACCACGGCCGAGCGGGAAAUCGUGCGUGACAUUAAGGAGAAGCUGUGCUACGUCGCCCUGGACUUCGAGCAGGAGAUGGCCACGGCUGCUUCCAGCUCCUCCCUGGAGAAGAGCUACGAGCUGCCCGAUGGCCAGGUCAUCACCAUUGGCAACGAGCGGUUCCGCUGCCCCGAGGCGCUCUUCCAGCCUUCCUUCCUUGGCAUGGAGUCCUGUGGCAUUCACGAAACUACCUUCAACUCCAUCAUGAAGUGUGACGUGGACAUCCGCAAAGACCUGUACGCCAACACAGUGCUGUCUGGCGGCACCACCAUGUACCCUGGCAUUGCCGACAGGAUGCAGAAGGAGAUCACCGCCCUGGCACCCAGCACCAUGAAGAUCAAGAUCAUUGCUCCUCCUGAGCGCAAGUACUCCGUGUGGAUCGGCGGCUCCAUCCUGGCCUCGCUGUCCACCUUCCAGCAGAUGUGGAUCAGCAAGCAGGAGUAUGACGAGUCCGGCCCCUCCAUCGUCCACCGCAAAUGCUUCUAGGCGGACUGUGACUUAGUUGCGUUACACCCUUUCUUGACAAAACCUAACUUGCGCAGAAAACAAGAUGAGAUUGGCAUGGCUUUAUUUGUUUUUUUUUUUGUUUGUUUUGUUUUGGGUUUUUUUUUUGGCUUGACUCAGGAUUUAAAAACUGGAACGGUGAAGGUGACAGCAGUCGGUUGGAGCGAGCAUCCCCCAAAGUUCACAAUGUGGCCGAGGACUUUGAUUGCACAUUGUUCUUUUUUUAAUAGUCAUUCCAAAUAUGAGAUGCAUUGUUACAGGAAGUCCCUUGCCAUCCUAAAAGCCACCCCACUUCUCUCUAAGGAGAAUGGCCCAGUCCUCUCCCGAGUCCACACAGGGGAGGUGAUAGCAUUGCUUUCGUGUAAAUUAUGUAAUGCAAAAUUUUUUUAAUCUUCGCCUUAAUACUUUUUUAUUUUGUUUUAUUUUGAAUGAUGAGCCUUCGUGCCCCCCCUUCCCCCUUUUUUGUCCCCCAACUUAAGAUGUAUGAAGGCUUUUGGUCUCCCUGGGAGUGGGUGGAGGCAGCCAGGGCUUACCUGUACACUGACUUGAGACCAGUUGAAUAAAAAUGCACACCUU
rnacentral:sRNA from 1 species